GCUACGGGGGGCAGCAGUGAGGAAUAUUGGUCAAUGGGCGCGAGCCUGAACCAGCCAAGUCGCGUGAGGGAUGAAGGUUCUAUGGAUCGUAAACCUCUUUUAUAAGGGAAUAAAGUGUGGGACGUGUCCUAUUUUGUAUGUACCUUAUGAAUAAGGAUCGGCUAACUCCGUGCCAGCAGCCGCGGUAAUACGGAGGAUCCGAGCGUUAUCCGGAUUUAUUGGGUUUAAAGGGGGCGUAGGCGGCCUUUUAAGUCAGCGGUGAAAGUCUGUGGCUCAACCAUAGAAUUGCCGUUGAAACUGGUGAGCGUUAGUAUGUUUGAGGCAGGCGGAAUGCGGGGUGUAGCGGUGAAAUGCUUAGAGAUCACGCAGAACCCCGAUUGCGAAGGCAGACUGCCAAGCCAUGACUGACGCUGAUGCACGAAAGCGUGGGGAUCAAACAGGAUUAGAUACCCUUGUAGUC
rnacentral:rRNA from 1 species